ensembl:lncRNA
GAAAGACCCCAGCUUAGCAGCAGUAACGCCAUUUUGCAAGGCUGUACUUAAGAUGACUGGUUCAGGGAAAGGUUAGAACACUGAGUAUACAGCGGCUGCCAAGCAGGAGAUGUUUGGUUGAAGGCCUGGCAACAGGAUGACUGGGGUUGAGCACCUGACAAUAAGAAAAAGCCCCGGGAGAGGUCCCACACCCUGGUGGGGGGGCCGAGUCAGUUGUUAUGUUUCAAGAAGGUAGCUUGGAAACUUGCCCCCAGGCUAAACUCUUGGGGGGCCGAGUCAGCCGUUAUGUUUCAGGAAGGUAGCUAGGAAACUUGCCCCCGGGCUGAACCCUUUGGGGGCCGAGUCAGCCGUUAUGUUUCAGGAAGGUAGCUAAGAAAC